rnacentral:rRNA from 1 species
CCUACGGGCGGCAGCAGUGGGGGAUAUUGGACAAUGGGGGAAACCCUGAUCCAGCGACGCCGCGUGCGUGAAGAAGUAUUUCGGUAUGUAAAGCUCUAUCAGCAGGGAAGAAAGAUAUGACGGUACCUGAGUAAGAAGCCCCGGCUAACUACGUGCCAGCAGCCGCGGUAAUACGUAGGGGGCAAGCGUUAUCCGGAUUUACUGGGUGUAAAGGGUGCGUAGACGGUAAGGCAAGUCUGCAGUGAAAGGCGGGGGCCCAACCCCCGGACUGCUCUGGAAACUGUGUAACUGGAGUGCAGGUGAGGUAGGCGGAAUGUGUGGUGUAGCGGUGAAAUGCGUAGAUAUCAGGAGGAACACCGGUGGCGAAGGCAGCCUGCGGAACUGUAACUGACGUUGAGGCUCGAAAGCGUGGGGAGCAAACAGGAUUAGAUACCCUUGUAGUC